rnacentral:rRNA from 1 species
UACGGGGGGAGCAAGCGUUGUUCGGAAUCACUGGGCGUAAAGGGAGUCUAGGCGGUUUGGUAAGUGGGAUGUGAAAUCCCCGGGCUCACCCCGGGACCUGCAUCCCAAACUGCUGAGCUUGAGUACAGGAGAGGGUGGGGGAAUUCCAGGUGUAGCGGUGAAAUGCGUAGAUAUCUGGAGGAACACCGGUGGCGAAGGCGCCCACCUGGCCUGCUACUGACGCUGAAGCUCGAAAGCUAGGGGAGCAAACGGGAUUAGAUACCCCGGUAGUCCUAGCCGUAAACGGUGAUCACUAGGUGUUGGGAGCAUCGACCCUUCCAGUGCCGCAGCUAACGCAUUAAGUGAUCCGCCUGGGGAGUACGGCCGCAAGGUUGAA